UUGGGUAGGGGAGCGUUCUGUAAGCGGAUGAAGGUGAAUCGAGAGGUUUGCUGGACGUAUCAGAAGUGCGAAUGCUGACAUAAGUAACGAUAAAACGAGUGAAAAACUCGUUCGCCGGAAGAUCAAGGUUUCCUGUCCAACGUUAAUCGGGGCAGGGUGAGUCGACCCCUAAGGCAAGGCUGAAAAGCGUAGUCGAUGGGAAACGGGUUAAUAUUCCCGUACUUGUAAUAACUGCGAUGUGGGGACGGAGAAGGUUAGGUUAUCAGGGUAUUGGAUAUCCCUGUUUAAGCCGGUAGGUGGGAAUUCUAGGCAAAUCCGGAAUUCUGUAUAACACCGAGAAGUGAUGACGAGGCUCUAAGGAGCUGAAGUAACUGAUACCACGCUUCCAGGAAAAGCCACUAAGCAUAGGUUAUUAUAAAUCGUACUGUAAACCGACACAGGUGAUCAGGUAGAGAAUACUCAGGCGCUUGAGAGAACUCGGGUGAAGGAACUAGGCAAAAUAGCACCGUAACUUCGGGAGAAGGUGCGCCGGCGUAGAUUGUAGCCCUUUACGGGUGAAGGUUGAACCGGUCGAAGAUACCAGCUGGCUGCAACUGUUUAUUAAAAACACAGCACUCUGCAAACACGAAAGUGGACGUAUAGGGUGUGAUGCCUGCCCGGUGCUGGAAGGUUAAUUGAUGAUGUAAUCGAAAGAGAAGCUUCUGAUAGAAGCCCCAGUAAACGGCGGCCGUAACUAUAACGGUCCUAAGGUAGCGAAAUUCCUUGUCGGGUAAGUUCCGACCUGCACGAAUGGCAUAAUGAUGGCCAGGCUGUCUCCACCCGAGACUCAGUGAAAUUGAAAUCGCCGUGAAGAUGCGGUGUACCCGCGGCUAGACGGAAAGACCCCGUGAACCUUUACUAUAGCUUGACACUGAACCUUGAAUUUUAAUGUGUAGGAUAGGUGGGAGACUU
rnacentral:rRNA from 1 species